AGCUUUGCACAGUGGCAGUAUCGUAGCCAAUGAGGUUUAUCUGAGGCGUGAUUAUUGCUAAUAGAUUUUCCAGUUCUUCUUGAUUUAGUCUAGGAAGGUUGUGUCUUUCUAAGUACUUGUCCAUUUCUUCUAGGUUAUUAAAUUUGGUA
rnacentral:snRNA from 12 species